rnacentral:rRNA from 1 species
AACGAACGCUGGCGGCAGGCCUAACACAUGCAAGUCGAGCGAGACCUUCGGGUCUAGCGGCGGACGGGUGAGUAACGCGUGGGAACGUGCCCUUUUCUGCGGAAUAGCCUCGGGAAACUGAGCGUAAUACCGCAUACGCCCUUUGGGGGAAAGAUUUAUCGGAAAAGGAUCGGCCCGCGUUGGAUUAGGUAGUUGGUGGGGUAAUGGCCUACCAAGCCUACGAUCCAUAGCUGGUUUGAGAGGAUGAUCAGCCACACUGGGACUGAGACACGGCCCAGACUCCUACGGGAGGCAGCAGUGGGGAAUCUUAGACAAUGGGGGCAAGCCUGAUCGAGCCAUGCCGCGUGAGUGAUGAAGGCCUUAGGGUUGUAAAGCUCUUUCAGCUGGGAAGAUAAUGACGGUACCAGCAGAAGAAGCCCCGGCUAACUCCGUG